AGCCAGCAGGCCCAGGGCUGGCCUGGCCCUGCUGCUUCCCUUGGUAGCACUCGAGUCCGGGGGAGGGGUCCUGAGCCAGCUGGGGUCUGCCAGGCCACUCCUGCAGACAGGGACCACCCCACCCGACAGGGACCCCUGUCUCCCAUCUGAGAGGACAGCUCUCUUCCUGGAGCUGGGAUCUGUCGCUUGCUGGUACCAACAGCAGAUAAUCAGGUGACCAUGUGACAUGUUCUGGCCAAUGAAACGAGAGCAGAAAGACCCCGGGUCACACCUGGACCGGAGGAGCUUGAACAGCCUGCGCAGGGUACCUCCGGAACUGAGAGCCAUUCCUGGAAGACAGCUGGCCUAGAGGGACCGUGCAUCCCAGAUUCCUCGGCAGCUGACCAAUGUCAUGUGACUGGUUCUGACCAGUGGAAUAUGAGCAGAAAUGACAAAUGUCCUUCAGAGUCAGGGCCACUUCUGGGGUCCUCGGAUGACAGAGGAAAAUAAACUUCUAACUGCCUCUUGGGGUUUGUUUGUUACAUCAGCUAGUGCUACCCUAAAUCAUAAACCCAAUAAAUUGCAUGAGCCUUUAA